rnacentral:rRNA from 1 species
AUUGAACGCUGGCGGCAGGCCUAACACAUGCAAGUCGAGCGAGCGGCGGACGGGGGAGUAAUGUCUGGGAAACUGCCUGAUGUAGGGGGAUAACUACUGGAAACGGGAGCUAAUACCGCAUACCAUCAGAUGUGCGCAGAUGGGAUUAGCUAGUAGGUGGGGUAACGGCUCACCUAGGCGACGAUCCCUAUCUGGUCUGAGAGGAUGAACAGCCACACGGGAACUGAGACACGGUCCAGACUCCUACGGGAGGCAGCAGUGGGGAAUAUUGCACAAGGGGGGAAAGCCUGAUGCAGCCAUGCCGCGUGUGUGAAGAAGGCCUUCGGGUUGUAAAGCACUUUCAGCGGGGAGGCGUUACCCGCAGAAGAAGCACCGGCUAACUCCGUGCCAGCAGCCGCGGUAAUAC